ensembl:lncRNA
ACUGGUAAAGGGGAGGACUUGGGAAACAUUGGUAAAUGGGAGGACUUGGGGUCUGGGAAACACUGGUAAAGGGGAGGACUUGGGAAACAUUGGUAAAUGGGAGGACUUGGGGUCUGGGAAACACUGGUAAAGGGGAGGACUUGGGAAACAUUGGUAAAUGGGAGGACUUGGGGUCUGGGAAACACUGUAGCAGCUCCUAAACAAGGAGGAAAAACAACCAAUGAGACAAAAUACAAAGAAUCAACAAAAAUACAUUUUUCAGCGUUUCGAUUUGCUCAAUUCUGGUAGAACCUCCCCCGUUUAAAUGUGUUCGUCCCAUUGGAGUCUACUGAACAUGGUCCUGAACAUGGUCCAGGUCACAGGUCAACCCGUUGUUCAGUCUGCUGCAUCAAGGGCAGAGGUCAGGUGUUGGAGUCUACUCAACAUAGUCCGGGUCACAGUUCAACCCGUUGUUCAGUCUGCUGCAUCAGGGGCAAAGGUCAGGUGUUGGGUACGUAAAGGCUCAGGGCAGAGGAAGCACUGACGUCUGUGUUCAGUAGGGGAGAGUUUGAUUUGAUUUGAUUUGAUUCCAUGUCCAGGAUGUUUAAUGUCAGGACACUUGGGUUGUGACCAGAGGCAGGGAGGAUCAGGCUUCUUGAGAAGCGUCACAGAACCACACGAGCUCAACACAGUCUUCAUCCCUGUCACCUGUUUGUCCUCAUUGUCUGAAGUGUUCAAGUCCUGGAGUGUAGUUAACUCAGAACGUCAUUUCACUCCUGUCCCGUCUGUCCAUUGGGUGUCCUAG